UGGGGAAUAUUGGACAAUGGGCGAAAGCCUGAUCCAGCCAUGCCGCGUGUGUGAAGAAGGUCUUCGGAUUGUAAAGCACUUUAAGUUGGGAGGAAGGGCAUUAACCUAAUACGUUAGUGUUUUGACGUUACCGACAGAAUAAGCACCGGCUAACUCUGUGCCAGCAGCCGCGGUAAUACAGAGGGUGCAAGCGUUAAUCGGAAUUACUGGGCGUAAAGCGCGCGUAGGUGGUUUGUUAAGUUGGAUGUGAAAUCCCCGGGCUCAACCUGGGAACUGCAUUCAAAACUGACUGACUAGAGUAUGGUAGAGGGUGGUGGAAGUUCCUGUGUAGCGGUGAAAUGCGUAGAUAUAGGAAGGAACACCAGUGGCGAAGGCGACCACCUGGACUAAUACUGACACUGAGGUGCGAAAGCGUGGGGAGCAAACA
rnacentral:rRNA from 1 species